CUGUAGGUACCAGAUGUGAUGACCAACAUAACCUUCAGAAAUCAAUUGAACAAAUGUUUCUUGGUGUUCAUCAAAAAUAAGCCAGCCUUUAUAAUCAGACUGAACGCAACAAAAUUCAACACUUGCGUCGAAGAAAAUUGUGGGAAGAGAAAAGUUUUUGCAAGCAAUCAAGCUCUACAAUGAGCAGGUGCCAGAUGAAGAGGAGAGGAGCAUCACUGAGGAGAAGGUGAACAUGCUUUGAAAGAUGGACGGAUUGACCGUGCACUGAAUGUCUGCAAAAAGGUGGUGGGGUGCUUCUCCUAUAGCUGGAGACGAAGGAGGGAGUUGUCCGAGGCCCAGAAAGAGCUCAAGUUACCUCAACACAAGCUCAAGACUGAGUGCCCAACGA